AUGCUCAAGAGCUCCGAUGACGAGCUCGAAUUGUUGAAUAAGCAGUUCGACAUUCGCUUGGCGAAUGAAGUGGAUCAACCUCUUUUUGGCUCGGGCCAAACACUUUUUCUCGCUGGUAGAGCUUUCUAAAAAAAAGCAUGCGAGAGCGUAUUCUCUUAUCUAAGCUUCCUCCUUUCGCUCCCCCCAUCGUAG
rnacentral:rRNA from 1 species